UUAUGUCGUUAGAAUACCAAAACAGGUAUCAUUAAUAUGAAAAAUCAUUAAGUAAAAAUUAUUGAUAUGGAUCAAUGAAAAUGUCUAAAUAUCGUCAAAUCAAUAGUAUUCGUUUUUAAACUAAAUCUAAUGUGUGUUUUUUUUCAAUAGGAAAAUGGCGAAUCGCUUCAAGCCAUCCAUUCCAGCGAAGCGAGAAACGAAGGAUGAGAUUACGACGAUCAAAUGAAGACAAUCAUUCGCCCACAAUUCCAGCAAGAACAAUUUACGAACAUAGGCAUUGAGAAUAAUGAUUUCGCAUUCUUUGGUGAAAGUGGAGAAAAAAAGAUCUCAACUCUACUCUAACCAAGUGCUAUUUGAUUCAAAUUUUCUUGCAACGCGUCACAAUCACUAUAUGAACUUAUGCAUUUCGACAGUUUUGUAUCAUCAGCAAAUGAUAAAAUGCAUGGAUCAUUUACAGCAAACGUCAAAUCGAUGACAAACAUGAUGAACAAUGUUGCUCCAAUGGGGUAACCUUGGCCCCUUCCAGUAGUAGCGUCAAUUGGCUUUGAUUUUGAAUCAUUUAAAUUCUUUAAUUUUGCUGCCUUUUAACGAAUAUUAAAGACUUUACCUGUAUUAGCAAAUCUGUAUAAUAUGGUCAUUUAAAGCUUUAUAAACACUAAAAUGGUCUUUAUUGACGAAAUAAGAUCAAUUUCAGUGUAGAAAUGUGAAAAGUUGGUGUUGAAUAAGGGUUGCUACUACUACGGCUACAGCUGUCCAUAGAAUGGUGAAGGCUGAUUGUUGACAUUCCGGGGUGGUCUCCAUACAUUUGGAUGAAUGUCCGAUCGAUAAUCACGCAUUGAAAUAACAACAAAAUGUACGUUUCCUGAAUGAAAUAACAACAAACAGAUUAAGAAGAGCAUCGAUGCAUGGCAUGUGAUCUUCGAGGCCAUCACUGAUAAAUACGAGAUUAUUGCAACAAUUACAUCCCGAUACCAUUCGUGGAUAAGUGAUGGCAGUCCUUGCUUUAUUGACCUUUGGUUGGAGUUUGGAUCAGCCGCCUUGAAACCCAUUUUUGAAACAGAACUAACAGCAAAAAUCCAAAAAAAUUAAAGCAUCAAACAAAUGACGAACACACUUCCAAAAAAAUAUAUUUUAAAAAGAACUCUUUAUUCGAUUAAUGACACGCAUCAAAUUUUAUUUUGUUUCGUCUUGAAAUUCAAAUAAUAAUAUUGUUACACUACAUGUGCUUCUUCACAAAAACAAAAACAAAAAUAUCGAUGCAAUAAGUUCCAUAAUUCGAUUGUAUUUAUGGUGAAAUUAUGAUCUCUUACGUUGUUAGUUUGUGAUUGUUUUGUUAUUUUAAAAUAAAUACUGAAACAAACACAAAAUUCACUUCGUAAAUAAACAUUUUCUUUGCAAAAUCACAAUCUCGAAAUAUUAAAAUCAAUUGCAUGAUCUGAAUGUAAACAAAUGAUGUUCGACUUCGAUGUGACACCAACUGUCAAUGGUCAUAUUAAUACGUUCUGAAGUUCGAAUCUGUAAUUCUGUUCAUGAAAUAAAUAAAAUGCAAUGUAAUGAUAAAAAUUUGAAUAAGAAUUCGGUUGAGGAAAAUAAAUCCAAAUCAUUAAAGUCUCUUUA